UACGUAGGGUGCGAGCGUUAAUCGGAAUUACUGGGCGUAAAGCGUGCGCAGGCGGUUCGUUGUGUCGGCGGUGAAAGCCCCGGGCUUAACCUGGGAAUGGCCGUUGAAACUGGCGAACUGGAGUGUGGCAGAGGGGGGUGGAAUUCCGCGUGUAGCAGUGAAAUGCGUAGAUAUGCGGAGGAACACCGAUGGCGAAGGCAAUCCCCUGGGCCUGCACUGACGCUCAUGCACGAAAGCGUGGGGAGCAAAAGGG
rnacentral:rRNA from 1 species